rnacentral:lncRNA from 1 species
UGGUGGUUGAGGUGCAUUGAGGGAGAUGGACCCACUUGUACUACUUACUGUAAGUUUCUUCCCCACAUUCCUCCUCAUUUAUUAUUGUUUGAUUUUGGUGCCUUUGAUUCUCUCAUUUCUGUACCUCUCUCCUCCCCAGUCCUGUCAAAGCGCUUUUUUUUUCUCUCUCUAUUUUGGAGUCUUAAAAGAGACUCAAGGCAUGUUUCGGAGUAAAAGCUACUUCUAUGUUCUAAUUUCUACACAGGUCAC